rnacentral:rRNA from 1 species
GACGAACGCUGGCGGCGUGCUUAACACAUGCAAGUCGAACGAAGUGGCGAACGGGUGAGUAACGCAUAAUCAACCUGCCCUUCAGAGGGGGACAACAGGUGGAAACGACUGCUAAUACCGCAUACUGAAGGAGGGGAUUGCGUCUGAUUAGCUAGUUGGAGGGGUAACGACACACCAAGGCGAUGAUCAGUAGCCGGUCUGAGAGGAUGAACGGCAACAUUGGUACUGAGACACGGCCCAGAUUCCGACGGGAGGCAGCAGUGGGGAAGCUUCCGCAAUGGACGAAAGUCUGACGGAGCAACGCCGCGUGAGUGAUGACGUCCUUCGGGUUGUAAAGCUCUGUUAAUCGGGACGCGGUACCGGAAUAGAAAGCCACGGCUAACGACGUGCCAGCAGCCGCGGUAAUUC